CAGGCUUCCUAGUCACCUCCAUUGGGCACAGCAGGAAGCCCCCAGGCUGGGGCAGGGGCAGGGGCAGGAGUUCAGAUGGAGACAGGCGGUUCAGCAGCUAAUGUCCCCAUUGUGAGAGGCGCUGCUUUCCACCAGUGUGUAGCACCUAGUGGUGGGGACACCCAGAAGGGCCUGGGUGGGAGACCCCCACACCUACUCCCACCUGCUCACUGACCUCCUGCCUGUCCCUAUGGGGGUCUCUAGCCACCUAUGUACAACAGAGGGGGAAUUAGACUGUGGCCACCCUCUCUAGAACUGCACCCCGUUCCUUUCUGCAGCAGGACGGGCUGGCCAAGAGCAACUGAUUGUGGAGGUAAGAGGCCGAUAGCUCUCGGGCAUGGAGCUGGUGGGCAUGGGGAUGGUGGGGCGUGGGGCAAGCCUCCGGGAAGGGACUGAUGAGAGGGCAGCGGGAGGACCAGAGGCGAUGAAGGGAAGGCAGGGCGGGGGUGGGGCGGGGCCAGCAGCAACAGAGACCCUAACCUGAGCCGCCCUGACCCCGCUCUCUGACCCCUGUCCAGGGACAGGUGCGUGUCGGACGUGAGCAGAGAGGACAGAGGCAGGUGUGGCCGUGGGCAGGGUGGCCCUCUAAGGUCCCCCGGAGUAGUGGGGGAUCUGUUUGCAGGACAGAGUCAUGGGAAGCCUGGGCCAGCCAGGGAGGUCCUGCCAGUGGGAAAGGAGGUGGCUGCUCCCACGGCUGGGCCAGAGGUGUCCCUGAUGUCCGUAGAUGGUGCUGGGAACCAAGAAAGCGGCUGCUCUUCCUCCUCCACACACGGAUCGAGGCCCUUGGCCCAGCUCCCGGGGACAGUGAGCUUGUCCCGCAGCUCGGAGAUGCUGCUCAGCAGGGCACCUCGUCAUUGGUCGUGCGCCUGCUCAGUCUGGGGCAGGGGCUGGGACAGCGUCUUUAAUCCCUGCUGCGGGAUUAGGACAACGUGGAGUGAUUCCGCAGCAGCCGGAGGCCGCGGCCGGGGACGUGAGACAGCAGCUGACGCCCAGAACCUCACAACCCCUGGACGCACAUUCUCCCAGGGCCGGUGCCUGGAAACAAAGGCCACCCCCCACCGGCCGGAAAUUUCUAGGCUGGCAAUGGAGAUGGGACAUCCGAUGACCCCCUCUGUAUCCUCCUCUCCCCUGGGGUCCUCCAAGAAGGCCUGCGUGGUCAAUGACCCACUUUGUUUUGUUUUGAGAUGGUGUCUUGUUGGUUUCCCAGGCUAGGGUGCAGUGGUGCGACCUCGGCUCUGGGGUUCCAGCGAUUCUCCUGCCUCAGCCUCCUGAGUCGCUGGGACUGCAGGUGUGCGCCGCCACGCCCGGCUAUUUUUUUUUUUUUUGAGACGGGGUCUCACUCUGUAGCCCAGGGUCGGGUGCAGUGGCGCUAUCUUGGCUCACUGCAAGCUCUGCCUUCCGGGUUCACACCGUUCUCCUCCCGAGCAGCAGGGACUACAGGCGCCCUCCACCACGACCGGCUAAUUUUUUUUUUUUUGUAUUUUUUUUUUUAGUAAAAACGGGGUUUCACCGUGUUAGCCAGGAUGUUCUUGGUCUCCUGACCUCAUGAUUCGCCUACCUCAGCCUCCUAAAGUGCUGGGAUUAAGGCGUGAACCACGCGCCAGGCCAAUUUUUGUAUUUUUAAUGGAGACAGGGUUUCACCAUGUUGGCCAGACUGGUCUUGAACUCCUGACCUCAGGUGAUUCACCUGCCUCGGCCUCCCACAGUGCUGGGAUUACAGGCGUAAGCCACUGCACCUGGCUUCAAUGACCCACUUGUCCACUGCCCUGCACUUAACAUCCUCAGGCAGCUGGAGCCACCUCCUGCAGGAAGCCCUCCCCCUAGCACCCACUCACCCACAGGCGGGGCUUCCCCUUGGGUUGCCAUUGACCUUGUGGUCGGCAGGGCACCCGGUGCUCCCAGGUGUGUCUCCCUGCGUGGCCCAUGGGCUUUUCUGGGUGGUGCUCAGAAAUGCUGCUGGGCAGUUUUACUCAAGUUUGUACAUAUAUGAUUCGAUGAGUUUGGCAAACAACCUAGCCAUCGGGACGCAUGAGAAUUCCUACUACCUUGGACCUGCAGCCACCCCUCUGCCUUCUGUGGCUACAGUUUCGCUUUUUCUGUAAUGUCAUAGAAAUAGAAUCAUACAGCACACGGCUUUCUGAGGCCGGAUUCUUUCACUUGGCCUAAUGUGUCUGAGAUUCGCGCACAUCUCGGCCACGCUCCCCAGCCCGCUGUGGUCACAGCUGAGUCGUGUUCCCUGUGUGGGUGCACCACAGCCUGUCUGUCCAGUCAGCACCCAAGGACAAAGGGGUUCUUUCCACUUCUUGGGUGUUACAAAUAAAGUGG
ensembl:lincRNA